rnacentral:lncRNA from 1 species
UUUUGGUCCCACUCAUUUCUUUACUGUUUUCAUUGAGUUAUGAAUUUUUGAAGUGAAUGCAUAUGUUGAUGUUGUGAUUUGGAGCAUGUAAUUGUGUCUGUUUUUGUUGAUUUUUAUUGACAUGGUUCCCUUGGUCCAAUUAAGCUCAAAUUUGGUAUGCUAGACCUUGAAUAGUCCCUGUUUAGGUGUAAAUUAUUUGAGAAUUUUUGGAAGUGUUUUGAUGUGGAUUUGAAUGCAAUAGUUCUGUUUGCAUGUUUGAUGCUUCAUUUGAGCUAGUUUGCC